ensembl:lncRNA
AUGCAAAUCCAGAGACAUCUAGAACAGCAGCCCCACAGGACAGUGGCUGGAGGGCCAACCUCUAGCCAGGGUGACUGCCCGAAUCAGCCCAUGUACCCCACACGAGUCCAUAUCACCCGCAGAGGAGGGCUUCACCCCACAGAGUCUACACCACCACCCCAGGAGGGCUUCACCCCACACGGAGUCCACACCACCAGCCGAGGAGGGCUUCACCCCAUAUGGAGUCCACACCACCAGUCAAGGAGGGCUUCACCCCACAUAGAAUCCACACCACCAGCCAAGGAGGGCUUCACCCCACACGGAGUCCACACCACCAGCCAAGGAGGGCUUCACCCCACACGGAGUCCACACCACCAGCCAAGGAGGGCUUCACCCCACAUAGAGUCCACACCACCAGCCAAGGAGGGCUUCACCCCACAUAGAGUCCACACCACCAGCCAAGGAGGGCUUCACCCCACACGGAGUCCACACCACCCGCAGAGGAGGGCUUCACCCCACACGGAGCCCCACCCAUCCGCAGAGGAGGGCUUCACCCCACACAGAGUCCACACCACCCACAGAGGAGGGCUUCACCCCACACAGAGUCCACACCACCCACAGAGGAGGGCUUCACCCCACACGGAGUCCACACCACCCACAGAGGAGGGCUUCACCCCACACAGAGUCCACACCACCAACCAAGGAGGGCUUCACCCCACACGGAGUCCACACCACCAGCCAAGGAAGGCUUCACCCCACACAGAGUCCACACCACCAGCCAAGGAGGGCUUCACCCCACACGGAGUCCACACCACCAGUCAAGGAGGGCUUCACCCCACACGGAGUCCACACCACCCGCAGAGGAGGGCUUCACCCCACACGGAGUCCACACCACCAGCCCAGGAGGGUUUCACCCCACAUGGAGCCCACACCACCCACAGAGGAGGGCUUCACCCCACACAGAGUCCACACCACCCACAGAGGAGGGCUUCACCCCACACGGAGUCCACAUCACCAGCCCAGGAGGGUUUCACCCCACACGGAGCCCACACCACCCGCAGAGGAGGGCUUCACCCCACACGGAGCCCACACCACCCACACAGGAGGGCUUCACCCCACACAGAGUCCACACCACCAGCCAAGGAGGGCUUCACCCACACAGAGUCCACACCACCAGCCCAGGAGGGUUUCACCCCACACGGAGCCCACACCACCCGAAGAGGAGGGCUUCACCCCACACGGAGUCCACACCACCAGCCAAGGAGGGCUUCACCCCACACAGAGUCCACACCACCAGCCAAGGAGGGCUUCACCCCACACAGAGUCCACACCACCAGCCCAGUAGGGUUUCACCCCACACGGAGCCCACACCACCCACAGAGGAGGGCUUCACCCCACACAGAGUCCACACCACCAGCCAAGGAGGGCUUCACCCCACACGGAGCCCACACCACCAGCCAAGGAGGGCUUCACCCCACACAGAGUCCACAUCACCCACAGAGGAGGGCUUCACCCCACACAGAGUCCACACCACCAGCCAAGGAGGGCUUCACCCCACACGGAGUCCACACCACCCACAGAGGACGGCUUAGCGCUCAGGAACAUACCCUUGCCCAGCCUUCCAGCCCGGGGCCAUGGUGGCCCCUCAACUUUCCAUAA